rnacentral:rRNA from 1 species
GACGAACGCUGGCGGCGUGCUUAACACAUGCAAGUCGAACGGAAAGGCCCUGCUUUUGUGGGGUGCUCGAGUGGCGAACGGGUGAGUAACACGUGAGUAACCUGCCCUUGACUUUGGGAUAACUUCAGGAAACUGGGGCUAAUACCGGAUAGGAGCUCCUGCUGCAUGGUGGGGGUUGGAAAGUUUCGGCGGUUGGGGAUGGACUCGCGGCUUAUCAGCUUGUUGGUGGGGUAGUGGCUUACCCAGGCUUUGACGGGUAGCCGGCCUGGGAGGGUGACCGGCCACAUUGGGACUGAGAUACGGACCAGACUCCUACGGGAGGCAGCAGUGGGGAAUAUUGCACAAUGGGCGGAAGCCUGAUGCAGCAACGCCGCGUGCGGGAUGACGGCCUUCGGGUUGUAAACCGCUUUCGCCUGUGACGAAGCGUGAGUGACGGUAAUGGGUAAAGAAGCACCGGCUAACUACGUG